rnacentral:lncRNA from 1 species
CUCCUCCUAUUCUGGUUUGCCUUAUAAAUGCUUGUAAGACGUGGAAUAAAUUUGGCACUGUUGGACAUCCUCUUCAGUGUCCCUCCUGCCCCCAUCUCUUUGUCUCUUAACUUUUUUUCAUCAUCCUCUUAGCCCCCAUGGUUACCCUGGUCGAUUCGUUGCGCUGGCCGCAACAAGUGGCGCCUGAACAGGGACCGUGGGACGUUUCACGGGAGCGCGCGGGUACAAGAUGAAGACACCCCGAGAUGGCUCCCAGAAAGAUGGUGCUGACUUCUUGCCGCUAUGCCAGAAAAUAGCAACGAUGGCUCUGGAUCAAAGGAGUCAGAGAAGAGACUCUCAAAAAGGUCGUCUACAUUUUCAUAACACAACACUUCGAGCAGGACUCUUUGCUACAGAAGAAAAUGAUUCAUCCUGAGCUGUGGAAGCUGGUAGCUGCCUUGGACCCCACCACUCGCAGAGUAAGAGACAACACUCUGGAUAGAGCUGCUUGGGAGACUUUUCCGUGAAAGCUUGUGUUUCCCGCCCAUUUUUGUUAAUUGUGGGCCCCGGUACAAUUUCGUCUUCGGUGUUUAAAGGGCCAAAAGGAGAAUACCUCACGUAUAACAUAGAGGGUAAUGAAUGUGUAUUAACUAAUUAUAUACCUAUUUCUCUCUGUUUUAAAAGGACGUCCCAUUAUGAUAUUUUUAGUAAUGCAAUCUCCAUAUGUACUCUUCCCGGUGGACAUAGAGGAUCCCUGGUUUAAGGGCCUACUUAGCCAGAGCGAGCCAUUUUGUUGUUUAUGCAGUGAACUUAGAUUGAACCUGCCCCUUCCCCCCAAGAGAAAAGCGCUUAGAAACAGAACUGGUGAAAUAUGACUGACCAGCCCCUGAUAACGGAGCCCACAUACAAAGACGUGUCUGGCCAGGUGGAAACGACCAAUCAGUGAAAGUGCACGUAUUACCUCCCUACCGGCCAAGGAUGAGCCAGGCAGCUGGAGAUGUCUAAUCAAGGGAAAGCGCAUGUAUUACCCGCCAAGGAGUGUGAGCCCGCCUUUUGGGCUCCAGACAAAUUCUAGCCAAGGUCAUAGGCUGAAUUAGAUGACUAUCAUGGGGUAGAAUGUAAUUAAAUUAGCCACCUGUGUGUGGCCAGGCUCAACCACAUGGCCUUUACUCUAUAAAAGUUAGUCUGUGAGACUGGGAGGGGUUGCCUCUUUGCAAGAGACGGCCCUGGCCGGUCAGUUUGAUUCUCGCUGCUUGGCGCGAAAUAAAGCUUUGCUUGACCUUCGC